rnacentral:rRNA from 1 species
GUGUUCUUUUCAUCGUC